UUAUUGGAGAGUUUGAUCCUGGCUCAGGAUGAACGCUGGCGGCGUGCCUAAUACAUGCAAGUCGAGCGAAUGGAUUGAGAGCUUGCUCUUAUGAAGUUAGCGGCGGACGGGUGAGUAACACGUGGGUAACCUGCCCAUAAGACUGGGAUAACUCCGGGAAACCGGGGCUAAUACCGGAUAACAUUUUGAACUGCAUGGUUCGAAAUUGAAAGGCGGCUUCGGCUGUCACUUAUGGAUGGACCCGCGUCGCAUUAGCUAGUUGGUGAGGUAACGGCUCACCAAGGCAACGAUGCGUAGCCGACCUGAGAGGGUGAUCGGCCACACUGGGACUGAGACA
rnacentral:rRNA from 1 species